GUGGAUUAUAUACCCGGGUAGUCCACGCCCUAAACGAUGGGUACUAGACGUCGGGAAGCUUGUCUUCUUGGUGUCGCAGCUAACGCAAUAAGUACCCCGCCUGGGGAGUACGGUCGCAAGAUUAAAACUCAAAGGAAUUGACGGGGGCCCGCACAAGCGGUGGAGCAUGUGGUUCAAUUCGAUGCAACGCGAAAAACCUUACCUGCCCUUGACAUCUGGGGAAUCCUGCAGAGAUGCGGGAGUGCCGCAAGGAACCCCAAGACAGGUGCUGCACGGCCGUCGACAGCU
rnacentral:rRNA from 1 species